rnacentral:rRNA from 1 species
GAUGAACGCUGGCGGCGUGCCUAAUACAUGCAAGUCGAGCGAACGGACGAGAAGCUUGCUUUUCUGAUGUUAGCGGCGGACGGGUGAGUAACACGUGGAUAACCUACCUAUAAGACUGGGAUAACUUCGGGAAACCGGAGCUAAUACCGGAUAAUAUUUUGAACCGCAUGGUUCAAAAGUGAAAGACGGUCUUGCUGUCACUUAUAGAUGGAUCCGCGCUGCAUUAGCUAGUUGGUAAGGUAACGGCUUACCAAGGCAACGAUGCAUAGCCGACCUGAGAGGGUGAUCGGCCACACUGGAACUGAGACACGGUCCAGACUCCUACGGGAGGCAGCAGUAGGGAAUCUUCCGCAAUGGGCGAAAGCCUGACGGAGCAACGCCGCGUGAGUGAUGAAGGUCUUCGGAUCGUAAAACUCUGUUAUUAGGGAAGAACAUAUGUGUAAGUAACUGUGCACAUCUUGACGGUACCUAAUCAGAAAGCCACGGCUAACUACGCGCCAGCAGCCGCGGUAAUACGUAGGUGGCAAGCGUUAUCCGGAAUUAUUGGGCGUAAAGCGCGCGUAGGCGGUUUUUUAAGUCUGAUGUGAAAGCCCACGGCUCAACCGUGGAGGGUCAUUGGAAACUGGAAAACUUGAGUGCAGAAGAGGAAAGUGGAAUUCCAUGUGUAGCGGUGAAAUGCGCAGAGAUGUGGAGGAACACCAGUGGCGAAGGCGACUUUCUGGUCUGUAACUGACGCUGAUGUGCGAAAGCGUGGGGAUCAAACAGGAUUAGAUACCCUGGUAGUCCACGCCGUAAACGAUGAGUGCUAAGUGUUAGGGGGUUUCCGCCCCUUAGUGCUGCAGCUAACGCAUUAAGCACUCCGCCUGGGGAGUACGACCGCAAGGUUGAAACUCAAAGGAAUUGACGGGGGCCCGCACAAGCGGUGGAGCAUGUGGUUUAAUUCGAAGCAGCGCGAAGAACCUUACCAAAUCUUGACAUCCUUUGACAACUCUAGAGAUAGAGCCUUCCCCUUCGGGGGACAAAGUGACAGGUGGUGCAUGGUUGUCGUCAGCUCGUGUCGUGAGAUGUUGGGUUAAGUCCCGCAACGAGCGCAACCCUUAAGCUUAGUUGCCAUCAUUAAGUUGGGCACUCUAAGUUGACUGCCGGUGACAAACCGGAGGAAGGUGGGGAUGACGUCAAAUCAUCAUGCCCCUUAUGAUUUGGGCUACACACGUGCUACAAUGGACAAUACAAAGGGCAGCGAAACCGCGAGGUCAAGCAAAUCCCAUAAAGUUGUUCUCAGUUCGGAUUGUAGUCUGCAACUCGACUACAUGAAGCUGGAAUCGCUAGUAAUCGUAGAUCAGCAUGCUACGGUGAAUACGUUCCCGGGUCU